AAAUACAUGCUGAAAUUUUAAUGGUUGUUUUCUCGAAGCGAAAUGAUUUUGUCAUAGUAUUACAAUCGAUUUAUAAAAAAUGGCCAAUUU